rnacentral:rRNA from 1 species
GACGAACGCUGGCGGCGUGCCUAAUACAUGCAAGUAGAACGCUGAAGGAGGAGCUUGCUUCUCUGGAUGAGUUGCGAACGGGUGAGUAACGCGUAGGUAAACUGCCUGGUAGCGGGGGAUAACUCUUGGAAACGAUAGCUAAUACCGCAUAAUAGUAGAUGUUGCAUGACAUUUGCUUAAAAGGUGCAAUUGCAUCACUACCAGAUGGACCUGCGUUGUAUUAGCUAGUUGGUGGGGUAACGGCUCAACAAGGCGACGAUACAUAGCCGACCUGGGAGGGUGGUCGGCCAAACUGGGACUGAGACCCGGCUCAGACUCCUAAGGGAAGCAGCAGUAGGGAAUCUUCGGCAAUAGACGGAAGUCUGACCGAGCAACGCCGCGUGAGUGAAGAAGGGUCUCGGAUCGUAAAGCUCUUGUGUAAGAGAAGAACGAGUGUGAUAGUGGAAAGUUCACACUGUGACGGUAUCUUAUCAGAAAGGGACGGCUAACUACGUG